GAAGUUUGGCUUCCAUGAAUGUGUCAAAGGCCCUUUUGGAGCCAUGUCAAACUAUCUGAUGUGGACUGGCAAAAAAAAAAAAAUCCAUUGUACCAGGAACCGGUACCAUAUUUGGCCCCUAAGGCAUCCCGCCCAAGCUGGCCUGCAGAGGAGUCACUGUGAACCAGCAGCCUAUGGCUGACGGACUGGCACUGGUCUGUGGAACAGCACUUUGAGUAGCACUGAUCUAGCCCACAGCCGUCACCAACUCACUUGUGGCAGCAAGUCCCAACGGUUGAUUGUGCCUUAUGUGAAGAAGGAACACCUUCUAAAGGCUGGAAGCCAAGUUCAAGUUUGGGAAGCUCUUGGGUUCUAAUAGUACCAUUAGCAUUUAACUGGCUCUUUUUGGAGAGCUAGCUUGGUGAUGAAAAUGUCUGACUGGGAUGGGAGGGGGGCAAGAUUAAAAUCGCCACUCAGCUCACCGAAACCAUGGAGAGCUGUAAGUCAGCAUAGUAGCGAAACACAGGCGGAUGAACCAAAGGUGUGACUUGGGAUAAGACAGCUUCUUCUGGGCUUGCUCUUGGUGGGCUCUCCUAUAACAGCGAGCUGGAGGAGAGAAGUGUGCAGAAAACUUCUCUUGCACUGGGCAGUAUUUGCCCCAUGUCUGGCCUGUAGUUGGUCUAAAAUUCUGGGGUCCCCAUUUCCAUCCUGCUCCCUAACAGAUUCCAGAGAGAAAGGCCAGUUUUCAGGAAGAGCAAUGCUUUCUGGGAAGCUGUUUGAAGGCUAAAGCUCCAAUAAAGAGCCAAUUCAAGGAGGGGAAGAAGUCAGCACAUCAGUCCUCUGGAAGUUAUGGCCCUAACUCUGUUAGUGUCUGGCAUUUGCUUCAGCGCCUGGGCAGCUCCACUCCUGCUUGUGCCUCAGAUGGGGAAGGGAGAAGGUGGCAGGCUAAAGGCUACUGAGGAGCAGCCCUCUGCUCAAACCAGGCCUCAGGCCUGCUGUUUGGCUCCUGCCACCCUCUGACCCAGUGGCUCAUAAAGAGGAAAGGGGAGGCAGAGUGGUCAUCUUUCUCCAAAGCACUACUCUGUGAGAUGCUGAAGGGGAAAAGAAGACAGGAAGAACCACAGUGCUGGUUCUAGUUCUGAGUAAAAAGGCGGGAAACAGAAGACACCUCAUGGACCCCUUCUGAAGUGAGGCAGGGGGAAAUCGGGACGGCCAACUGCCUUCUCCUCAGGGGAAGGGGAAAGGAACCUGACUGCCACUUUGAACUGAGACUGGCUUGUUCUUCAGUCGUGAGUGGAGAAGACAAAGCCAUCUUGACCCUUGGCUUGUGCCUGAGGCACAUGCCUUUCCCCACUUCCAAAUGAGUUUGAAGACAGCUUUCCGGGUCAUGUGGCCAGCAUGAUUAAACUGCUUCUGGCGCAACAGAACACCAUGACAGAAAUCAGAGCGCAUGGAAAUGCCGUUUACCUUCCUGUUGCAGCGGUACCUAUUCAUCUACUUGUGCUGGUGUGCUUUCGAACUGCGAGGUUGGCAGAAGCUGGGACAGAGCAACGGGAGCUCCCCACCAUGGCACGGAUUCAGCAAGCCAAAGAGGAAACAUCACUAUAUAAUACAAAAUCCUAUAAAUAUCUAUUAUAAUUGCCAAUGCAGACUCCAGUUAGCUUUCAGCAAUAGUGUUAUGGUGAGUGUUGAAGUACAGGAGUUCAUCAUUGCAACCUUCAGCCUCCAAGGAUAAGGCCUGAAAAGGAUAAGGCCUGAAAAGCAGCUAUUGGGACUCAGAAGCAAACUUGAAAUCCUUAUUACCACCUCAGUCACUUGCCAGAGCAAGGAAAAUGUGCCAGUUGGCCUGGCACGACUCUGGCAGGGGAAGUCCCAGGGUUUGGUCCCGUGUGUCCUGUGUGCUACACUACAGAUUGCUAGGCAUUACUCAGUUGGCAGCUUCCCAUUAACUGCUGGUGACAGUGAAAUUUAGAGAGGGGUGGGGGAUUCACCUUACCAAAAUACAGUCGUACCUCGGGUUACAAACACCUCGGGUUACAGACUCCCAGAAGUAGUACCUCGGGUUAAGAACUUUACCUCAGGAUGAGAACAGAAAUCGCAUGCCGGCGGGAGAGGUAACCCCAUUAGCUAAAGUGGUACCUUAGGUUAAGAACAGUUUCAGGUUAAGAAAGGACCUCCGGAACGAAUUAAGUUCAUAACCAGAGGUACCACUGUAUGAAACUUUUUAAUGUAUUUGAUGCUAUUUUUAAAUUGUCUUUUAAUUUUUUUAUUUUGCCCUGGCUCUAUUAUUAUUGAUUUUCAAUUCCAUAUAAGUUUAUUGUUCUAGCUGAAGACCAUGACAAACAGUACCAAUAAAACAAUACAGAUCCAUAAUAUGAGCCAACAUCCAUGCUGUAAGAGAGGGGUUAUCAGAGACACCAACAAACUCAAAUCCAGCUUGAUUUCAAAUUAAACCUCCACUCACCACAACAAUUUAUAGUGAUUUUUUCCCUUGCAGCCAGUGCAUAGAGAGCCACUCUGUGUUAUGAAGCCAUUAUUGUCACUCGAAAGAAACCGGACCAUUUCUAUCAGGGCGUAUCUGCUUGCUUGUAUGAGCAAAGGUUUCAGAAAGCAAUAGGAUCUUUAUAUAAGGGGCAGGCUAUCAGGUAAUGAGGGAUGUCUCCCACCUGAGGCUGACCACAAAUUCAAAGUCUAUUUUGGUAUGGGAUGUUCCUGUAGCGACCAUCCAAGACUGCAGUGGGCAUCGCUUGGAAACACAGCUCCAGAAAGGCAUUUCUUAAGGAA